UAUUCUUAUUACACAGAUCAAAGAUUCGGGUUGUGACGAUACUCCUGGUGAAGAUACGGUUCUUAACCAGGAUGAGACGCCUUUACGCUCCAGGUUCUUCCAUGGAGUCCAGAGCUCUGAUCUAUCUCUCAUCAACUCAAGCAUUGCAACUGGACUACUUAGCGCAGAAAUUAUCAAAAAGCUUUACUUCGGCAGGUUCCAAUGACAGACAGAAGUUUAGGGCUGUAAAAAGUAUCAACCACAGCAGCUCAAUUGCAAGUGGAUGAGAUCUGAGUUCAUCUCCAGAUUGUUGCCAAUAUUGUAGUUUUACUUCUUUUCAUGAUGUCCUCAAGUUUGUUUCAUGUUUACAUAAUUCCAUGAUAGCUCAUGUGAUGCAAGAAAUAUUGGUUUUUCCGCCAUUCUCACUGUAUUCUUUUGUGGGAUUAUUAUGCCUCACUGCACAUGGUAUAAUGCUGCUGAAAGUUCAAGGAUAACAACAAAGUCUGCUGAGUUACAUCUCCUGAAAUGUGUUUUGGCAAUUCAAUCAAAAUCUCUUUCAUUCUGUUUCUCACUUCCAAUUCUGCUGUAGCUAUCACAUUACUUAUAUCGCGGUUCUCCUCGACCAUUUCAGGCAUGCUUUUGCUACUUGGCGUUUGUUGCUGAGGUCUUCUUCUUCCUCUAUGUUGGCAUGGAUGCCUUGAACAUUGAGAAAUGGAAGGUUGUAAGUGAUAGGUGAGGUUAAAAAUAAAAUGGGAUAUUAGUUACCACGCAAAUACAUUCCAAGAUCGAAGCAUAAAAGCUGAAACAAUUUUAUCUUCACCAUUUGCUGUUUCUAUGGCUCUUACUUGAAAUCGGGAAAAAAAGAUCGAAAGGCUUUCUUUUCCGAUUUGAUUUGUUUUUUCCUUCUGUUCUGUGAUGAUAGGGCUUUCCUUCUUGUUGUUAAACACAAAUAAGUUAAAUAUAUUUCAGCUAUGAGCCUGGGCACCGGUUUCGUUUGUUCAUCUCUACCAUUGGUGCAGUGCACUGAGCAGUUAACGUUCCUGCUAUAGACCAACAGUAUACAAAAACUUGUUCAAAGAAUAGC